UUUUUAGAGAGUUUGAUCCUGGCUCAGGAUAAACGCUGGCGGCGUGCUUAACACAUUCAAGUCGAACGGACGAUUCCCCUUCGGGGGAAAAGUUAGUGGCGGACGGGUGAGUAAUGCAUGAGCAACCUGCCCCUCAGAGAGGAAUAACACAGAGAAAUUUGUGCUAAUACCGCAUAAAAUAUUUUGGACGCAUGUUUGAAAUAUCAAAGGAGAAAUCCGCUGAGGGAUGGGCUCAUGUCUGAUUAGAUAGUUGGUAGGGUAACGGCCUACCAAGUCUGCGAUCAGUAGCCGGACUGAGAGGUUGAACGGCCACAUUGGAAC
rnacentral:rRNA from 1 species